AUGUUAUCAAGAAAGGCGGAGGGAUUAGACCCUGUGAAGCCUUAGCAACCCUUUGUUUAAGUCAAAGAAGGUGCUAAAUUCUACUUAAUUUUAGAUUCAUUUAUCUGAAAUUGGAUAGAUAACUC
rfam:Tenacibaculum dicentrarchi strain AY7486TD, complete genome.